rnacentral:rRNA from 1 species
GACGAACGCUGGCGGCGCGCUUAACACAUGCAAGUCGAGCGAGAACCGGGGGCUUCGGCCCCGGGGACAGCGGCGAACGGGUGAGUAACACGUGGGUAAUCUGCCCUCGGCACCGGGAUAGCCCGGGGAAACCCGGAUUAAUACCGGAUUGCCCCUCCGGCCUUCGGGCCGGCGGGAAAGGUAAGCUUCGGCCUCUGGCCGAGGAUGAGCCCGCCGGCGGAUUAGCUUGUUGGUGAGGUAAUGGCUCACC